UACGGGGGGGGCAAGCGUUGUUCGGAAUUACUGGGCGUAAAGGGCUCGUAGGCGGCCAACUAAGUCGGAUGUGAAAUCCCCAGGCUCAACCUGGGAACUGCAUCCGAUACUGGAUGGCUUGAGUUCGGGAGAGGGAUGCAGAAUUCCAGGUGUAGCGGUGAAAUGCGUAGAUAUCUGGAGGAAUACCGGUGGCGAAGGCAGCCCCCUGGGAUAACACUGACGCUCAUGCACGAAAGCGUGGGGAGCAAACAGG
rnacentral:rRNA from 1 species